rnacentral:rRNA from 1 species
UUUUCAAAACAUUGUCUUAUGAAACAAAAUAUUAGAUAAUACCUGCCCAGUGACAUAUGUUCAACGGCCGCGGUAUCCUAACCGUGCAAAGGUAGCAUAAUCAUUUGCCUAUUAAUUGUAGGCUAGAAUGAACGGGUUAACGAAAUAAAAGCUGUCUCAAUUAAUUUCAUAAAAAUUAUUCUCUAUUCGAAGAAAAAUAGAUAAUCUCGAAGGACAAGAAGACCCUAUAGAGCUUAAUUUUAACUAUAGAAUUAUACUAUAUAAAUAUUCGGUUGGGGCGACCCAGGGCUAAAUAAUCACCCAUUAAAUAAAAGAUAAAUAAAUCUACCUAAUGACCCUUUAAAGAUCAUAAAAACAAGCUACCUUAGGGAUAACAGGCUAAUCCCACUUAAGAGUCCUUAUCAAUAGUGGGGUUUGGCACCUCGAUGUUGGCUUAGGGUAUCUCUAUAGCGCAAAAGUUAUAUAAAGAUGGUUUGUUCAACCAGUAAUUCCCUACGUGAUCUGUUUUAAAACCCGGAUG